rnacentral:rRNA from 1 species
GACGAACGCUGGCGGCGUGCCUAAUACAUGCAAGUAGAACGAUGAAGGAGGAGCUUGCUUCUCCGGAUGAGUUGCGAACGGGUGAGUAAAGCGUAGGUAACAUGCAUGGUAGCGGGGGAUAACUAUUGGAAAAGAUAGCUAAUACCGCAUAAGAGUAGAUGUAGCAUGACAUUUGCUUAAAAGGUGCAACUGCACCACUACCAGAUGGUCCUGCGUUGUAUUAGCUAGUUGGUGAGGUAACGGCUCACCAAGGCAACGAUACGUAGCCGACCUGAGAGGGUGAUCGGCCACACUGGGACUGAGACACGGCCCAGACUCCUACGGGAGGCAGCAGUAGGGAAUCUUCGGCAAUGGACGGAAGUCUGACCGAGCAACGCCGCGUGAGUGAUGAAGGUUUUCGGAUCGUAAAGCUCUGUUGUAAGAGAAGAACGAGUGUGUAAGUAGAAAGUUCACUCUGGGAGGUUAUCUUACCGGAAAGGGACGGCUAACUACGUG